UACGGAGGGUGCAAGCGUUAUCCGGAUUCACUGGGUUUAAAGGGUGCGUAGGUGGGCAGGUAAGUCAGUGGUGAAAUCUUUGGGCUUAACCCGAAAACUGCCAUUGAUACUAUUUGUCUUGAAUAUUGUGGAGGUCAGCGGAAUAUGUCAUGUAGCGGUGAAAUGCUUAGAUAUGACAUAGAACACCAAUUGCGAAGGCAGCUGGCUACGCAUAUAUUGACACUGAUGCACGAAAGCGUGGGGAUCAAACAGGAGUUAG
rnacentral:rRNA from 1 species